UAGAACUUUUGAUCAGUCCUUAAUUAUAAUGAUCGUGAGUUUUUAAAAAUAUAUUAGUUGUUAUUUCAUUAUAUUUCAGAAACACUGAGACUGUACCCACCUGGAACCUUCGGUGAACGAGUAUGCAACAAAACCUACAAAAUAACUGGCACUAACGUGGUUCUACGUCCUGGAGACUUGGUGACCAUCCCAAUCUGGAGUUUACACCACGAUCCUCGCUACUGGCCUGAACCUGAGGUGUUUCUUCCAGACCGCUUCUUACCAGAGAACAAGACCAAUAUUAGAAGCUUCACUCACAUGCCAUUCGGAAUGGGUCCUAGAAACUGUAUAGCUAUGCGGUUUGCCUUGUUGGAAGCCAAGGUGGCACUCACUAAGUUGCUACUGAAAGCAGAAAUACACCUGAGGAGCUGCCACGAGGAGCUGAAACUGGAACCAUCUCCCUUCUUACUGAGACCUGAUGGAGGAGUCAAUCUUGUGGUUUCUCCACUCACAGCUAAAACAAAUUAACAAUGAAUUAAGCUCAUCAGUGUAGUAAAAACUAAGGUAGAGAAGGCCAAAGAGAUUAUGGAAUUAAAGUUGAAGGGACAUAAAAAUAAUCAACCCAAAGAGUCAGCUUACUAAUAAUAACAAAAAAAGUCGCCAUGCAGUACAACGUCACUUUGGCAUGGUAGUGGGUCCCCCAUAAGUGGCUUUUUUGUAAACCUUUAAUAGAGUCCCUGGAGGCAGAAUAUUUCUUUUGACAUCAACCUAUCAACUGUUCCCUGGCUUCGCCACGACAUCCUCUUGGUUACGCCAGAAGAAUCCAAGUUGAAACGCUCGAGAACUAUCUCAACUCUCUUGAAGUCUCCAUUCAGUUCACUGUCAAAAAUUGAGACAUCUCACUUCCAUUUCUAGACGUCUUACUUCAUAAAUUUUGUACCAUCUGAAAUGAAACACAUCUAUUCGUUCAUUAUGAGAGAGAUACAACAAGCUCUCUGUCUAAUAUUUAAAGCCCUCAAUAUUUCAAUAAAAUGAGAACAUUAACAACAUUUUAAGACUACUUCCCUUCAUGCUUUGUCUGGAGCAGACGACAGGAGGCCUUUAUUUCUUACGGGUAACGAUGUAGAUCCUUCCAAAGCAUAUGUCAUAUCGACAACCUUUUGUGACAUGGCCAUACAUGGACACAGAACCAAAGAGUAGCAGUGAUCCCCACCCUCUAUCAGUUUUUUUUGGUUCUCUCCGGUACCUACUAUGCCGUGAAUCGAUGUAAGUAGUGAAGCAGUAGAUAACAGAAAUAACAUAAUAGGUAAGAAAUGAGUACUUUCCUUUCCUCAUACUUCACUGCCUUUCUGCUUAUUUUUCCUUCUGUUCCACCAACAGUCAACUCACCCUUAUGACAGUAAGUACAUCAUGUCUGGUGUGACGAUUAACCAAAUGUCUACAGCUCCUACAUACUAAUUCUAAUCUACCAAUAAAGAUCACUGGGUCAGUCAAAA